rnacentral:rRNA from 1 species
AUUGAACGCUGGCGGCAGGCCUAACACAUGCAAGUCGAGCGAGUGGCGAACGGGUGAGUAACACGUGGGUGACCUGCCCUGCACUUCGGGAUAAGCCUGGGAAACUGGGUCUAAUACCGGAUAGUGUGGGAUGGGCCCGCGGCCUAUCAGCUUGUUGGUGGGGUAAUGGCUACCAAGGCGCGACGGGUAGCCGGCCUGAGAGGGUGAUCGGCCGCACUGGGACGUGGACACGGCCCAGACUCCUACGGGAGGCAGCAGUGGGGAAUAUUGCACAAUGGGAGCAAGCCUGAUGCAGCCAUGCCGCGUGUAUGAAGAAGGCCUUAGGGUUGUAAAGUACUUUCAGCGGGGAGGCGUUACCCGCAGAAGAAGCACCGGCUAACUCCGUGCCAGCAGCCGCGGUAAUUC